GCAGUGAUGUCAACCGCAUCCGCCGCAGUCCCCGGCAGCCCUAAAACGCGCCGCGGCCCGCGGAAACCCCAGCCCGGCUCCUCCCGCCAGGGCCGAGGAGGAGAGGACGCGCGGGUCCCCGGAGUCCCCCACUCCGUCUGCCUAAGCCGUGGAGACCGGGAGUGGACGCACGGCGGUGCCUGGACCCCCGGGGAGGUGGAAGAAGAGGAGAGGGAAGGGAGCUGUGGAGUCAGAUGCGGCUUCCUUUACCUGAAUAAUCCUUUAAAGGAGUAAUAAUUUUUAAAAAGGAGCUCGACCUCAGCCAAAGAGGACGGCGCACGAGAUUAGGGCUUGAUCCACUGCCUUUGGUUGGGCCGGCUGAAUCGCUGGGGACUGCGGCCAGUCUCUUAAAAAAGGAGAACAAAAAGCCGAAGACCUUGUGUGGCCGCCGGGACAAAGCACCUUGGGUUCGGCGAGAAGGGACGCGCAGGAGCGCUGAACCCAGAACACGCGUGGCCGCUGCGGAAGGGCGUCCGCCCGGCGUGCGGAACGCUGAGGGUAUUCGGAUUGUCUUUUAUUUGUCCCUGUGGCUUGCUUUCACAGUGUCUACGUAGGAGAGGGGUCGGGGUUGUUGGGGUCUCUUUUUUUUUCUGGGAGGGGUAGCUGAAUUGUGGGAGACCUAGGUGGACUUGACUUGGCUUUCCUGCUACUCUGCGUCUCCUUCUCAAGAUGCGGGGGUUGGAAAGGGGACAGGGGACUCAAGGCUUAGAAAAGAGAAGGAGCCCUCUGCUGCCUGGAGGGCUAAGGGAGUAGAGAGUGGAGAUGGAGGUGAGUAGGGAUGGGCCAGCCCGAAGAGCACUGAGGAGGAGAAGGGGUCUUCUCCUCCCUCGGGUCCAGUGGAUGAGUUUUGCUGGGAAUGAGAAUUCGGGUGUCUGUCGAUAGGAGCGCUGAGAAAUUGAUGAGAAAUUGACAUGUCCGUGCACAUGCAUGAGGCGGCGACAGGAUUUGUGUGUAAACAGUGUGGA
rnacentral:lncRNA from 1 species